UACGGAGGGUGCAAGCGUUAUCCGGAUUCACUGGGUUUAAAGGGCGCGUAGGUGGGCUGGUAAGUCAGUGGUGAAAUCUCCGAGCUUAACUUGGAAACUGCCAUUGAUACUAUCAGUCUUGAAUAUUGUGGAGGUCAGCGGAAUAUGUCAUGUAGCGGUGAAAUGCUUAGAGAUGACAUAGAACACCAAUUGCGAAGGCAGCUGACUACGCAUAUAUUGACACUGAGGCACGAAAGCGUGGGGAUCAAACAGG
rnacentral:rRNA from 1 species